GGCCCUGGGGACCUUGACGGGACAGCUCAGCAGCAGGGGAUGGGGGCUCGGCGGCCGCGGAGAUGUAACACCUCCACCUCGGGCGAAGACCUCAUAGCCUGCGGGAGAUGGGAGUCCGGGACGCGGACAGGACGGGCACUUACCUACGAAUAGCCAGAGGGAGCCCCCCGACACGAGGAAGAAGAGAGAAGGCAGUCAUCUUUAAGACAAGGAGAGGUCUUGCAGACCAGACACCAACUCUACCAUCACCUUGACCUUGGAUUUCCAGCCUCCAGAAUCAUAAGUAAAUAAAAUUCUGUUGUUUAAG
rnacentral:lncRNA from 10 species